CUGCACACACAGCUACAAGUACACAACUUUUGGCUGAAGUCUUGUUGCCUGCUGAACCCCCAGAGCCUUUCAGGUUACAUUUCAGUUAGCACACCUCAUGCCACAGCCUGCCCAGUUCCCGUAUGUCUCUAGGUCAUUAUUAAUGCGUGCUGCAGUUUCACAAAGGAGUUCUGGAUAGUUUUUCUCCCAGAGAAUUUGGUCAGAGGGAAACUGUAAACCCUGGCCUCUCUGAAAGGCCAGCAUUCCUAAGCUCCAGCUCCAAAAUGUUGCAGCGGGUGACCGAGCACCCCAUCCAACCUCAUCCCACGCAGCACGGCAGCUGGUGGGGCAUCACCAGGUGAUGCACAACCCUCUGCCCUGUGGAUUACAUUACUGGCACUCGCCAGCUGCUACUUGUGUUGGAAGAACUUGAACGCCUUCCUCUCAUCUUAAAAAAGAGACAAAUAUUGUGAAUCGUAACAAUGACACCUAUAAGCAAGGUUAAUGCAUUCAAAGAAACAUAUUCUGCUUUUAAACUUUGUUUAGAACAACUUGAAAAACAUAGACAAUCACAUCAUCUUAAAUUAAAGGAAAAAUAAUUGGGCAAAAAAACAUCCACAGUAUUUCAAACAGGCCAGGGGAGCCACCUGACCUGUCAUUUGAGUCCCGUAUCAAACAGCUACAUUAACAGUCACCGUAAUGAAAUUAGACUAAUUAUGCAUACAUGAGCAAUAAAAAACCUAAACAAACAAGAAAUCCACUAUGGCAGUGAUCAAGUUUAAGAAAAAGAAAGUGGAAGCUUGUAAAAGAUGUAUCAAAAGUGACAGCCCCCAGGGGAAGAUAAUUCCCAGAAGCUUGAAGUCUCAACUGUAAAAAAAGCUGCCAUGGUUAAACAGAGGAAGUUUAUUAAAAAAGAUUACACCCUUCAGGAAGUUGAAGGUUAAAAUGGGACAUAAAAUACAAACACAUGAUAUGCCCCAAAAGACACUGAUGGCCAUCAAAAACUUGCAGUUAAUCCUUUUCUGUAGCAAGCAGGACAUCUGUUGAAGAGUUAGCAGGAGGAGUAGAUUGCUAAGAUAUAAAAGGAGCACGCAGGAGAGAUAAAGCCAUGGCACUGAACUGCAAGAAUUCUCUGCGUCCCUGUUUGCUAUAAACUCAACUGUUGCUAUAAACUUCCAAACCCUUGUUGGAAGCCUUCUUUAUGUAGCGCUGUCCUGGUUUCAGCUGGGAUAGAGUUAAUUUUCUUUCUAGUGGAUGUUGUCUUUCAGGUUUGGUAUGAAAGGAGUGUCAAUAAAGCAUAUUGGUUUAGUUGUUGCCAAGUGAUAUUUAUAGCAUUCAAAGACUUUUUCAACUUCCCAUAAAAGCUGAGAGGGAGCACAGAGAGGACAAGCUGACCAAAGGAAUAUUCCAUACCAUAGACAUCAUGCUCAGUAUAUAGAAAAGGGUUUGCCCGGGGGGCAGGGAUCCCCAAUCACUGCUUGGGAAGGGCUGGGCAACCAAUUCAUCAGGUGGUGAAAGUGACUUGUGUUGUGUUAUUUUAUCUUAUAUAUUCUUUUCUUAUCCUUAUCCUAUUUUUAUUUUCAUUUUCUGCUAUUGUUCUAUUAAACAGCCUUUAUCUCAACCCAUGCGCUUUUUUUUCCCCUUUUCCCUCUUUUUCUCCCUCUUUUCCCUACCCUAUUUGGGGAUGGGGAAGGAGAGAAUUGAGUGAGCAGCUGCUUGGUCCUAGCUGCUGGCUGGGAUUAAACCACGACAAGCACAAACUGGGGACAUCAGUGAAAAUAAUAUACCAGUAGGUUUCUAAGAAAUAGAGAAAUUAAGCAGUAACAAUUUCAAAGAACAAACAAACUAGGAUUAGUGUGCAUGGAAAAAUGAAGAUAAAGAGAGCUCUCUAAAAUCAUGAGUAGCAAAGACAGGUGAAAUAGGGAAUGGAAGUUUUGGUAUCAUGGAAGGCAGUGAACAAGGAUGCAUCAAAUCAUUUACUUGGUUCAAAACAAAUAAACCAGAAGUAUUUACUCAUAUAGCAUAUUGGUAACUUUGAAUUUCCUGGCCACAAAAUGCUGUGGUUUUCAGAAUUUGACAUGAGUCAAAGAUCUGUUGGAAAAACUCAUCCAUCGGGACCUAUUAAACAGAAAGACUCUACCUCUGACUUUGGAAGUCAUAUCACUAGAAGCUGGGAAUGUAAGGCAGGUAGCUAUUCCUACAUGCUUGCCAUUUUAUAAUAAUCUUUAGUAAACAUCCUCUGUUUUUCACCACUUUUCAUCACUUUUGGAGCCAGGAUACUGAGCUAGAUGGAUCUUUUUUACCCUGAGCUGGGACAGCCCUUCUUACACCCUGCUUUUAAGUAGCUCCUGCAGUGGAGAACCUUCUGUGGAUUCAUUUAAGUCAACCUGAACAACAAGAGUCAGGUAAAGGACUCCAAACAGAAUAAAGACUGAAAAUACUGGAAAGAGGUAACUAAGAGAGCAGGAUCAGCAAAUAAUGUAAAGAAAAGAUAAAGCAGAAUUAAACUUGCAUGUAGUCUUUAACUCUUAAAGAGUGGCACCACACAUGAGAUGACAGAAAAUAAUUCUUCAUCCUUGUAAAAGAAAAACAUACUCUCUUCCUCCCAGCAGGUGAAAUGACAAGAAAAUUGCAAUGUGUCCUUAAACUGAAAGAAGCUUAAUUCUCAGAUCAAAUCUAUAUCAACACAAUUUAAAAAAAAAAAAAAGAAAAAAAAGAAAGAGAAAGAGAGCUCUGCAAGUGGAUGAAUAAGUAUGCAUAGAAAAUGAAGAAUAUAUUAAUACACAGAAGUGCAAAAAUUAUAGAAACUAAACAUUAUCUAUUUUUAUUUAAACUAACUGAAGUAAUUCCAUAGCUGCAUAACUCAUCUAAAAAUGGUCUUGGUCAUGUCAGUUCUCUGUCAUGAAAAAUGAUUGCAUCUAAAAUGUUCCUUCAUGUUCGUUCUAUAAGUGAAAUCUUCACAUAAUAUGAAUUGCUCAGGGUUCUCUCACUUCUACAGAGCUGUGACAAGUCACAGCAGCUGAGGACCUGCCCAGCGUGUACCAUGUUGGAUGACACAGCAAAGUCCAUGUUGGAGGACACAGCAAAGUCGUAAAUCCAGCCUUGACAUAAUCAGAAUUUUCAAUGAGCUCAUUGCACAUGAGACUGUUAAUUGGCAAUUUACUGAGAUUCUCAUGCACCAACCUCUACCAGCAGAAGGGGAGAAGAACAGAGAAGCAAUGGCGCAGAGCCUGCAGAUUCCCUUUCCUGCAGCCCUUUGCUCAAAGGGGGUCCUCCUAAGACCCACACAACAAAGCAAUAAAGUAAGCCCGUGCAGCUCUGGGACCUGUAGCUUUCAUACCCAUGGCUAGUAGGACUAGCCAUGAGUCCUUCAGUCCCCACUGUCUUGGGGCUGAAGUAACCCAAAGCCUCUCUGAACCUAGGCUAGGAAGGGAGGAGUUUCUCCCACUACCAGCACCUAUGAAUGAACAUCGUAAAGCCCAGUUGUCAGCCUCUUCCUUAGUGAAAUGCUGGAAGAUUUAUUCACAGUUAAAUCCAGAUGUUUUCUAAAUUGACCAUCAUCAUAAAAUUAUCUCAGCCAACAGCAAAGAUAGGCUGAGCUGCUGUCCAGUGACUUUCCCUCUCAACUACCUUCAGAGGUUCUUCCACCUGACACAUUGCUCCAGUGACAGGAUCUUCUCAUGAGAUUCAUCAUUUGCUUUGAAGUAACCAGACCUCAGGCCCAUCGCAAUUUUAGAGGCCUCUAAGAAAUUUAUCCUCUAAUUAUCAUUCGCAGUUUCUCUAAGGAUUUGCAACUUCUGUAUGAAUUCCUUGGCCAAAUGCAGUAAUCUUGUUAAUCUCAACCCCCAUAUUUCUGUUUCUUUCAACUCCUGCUAGCAAAAAUUCUUGCAGUGCUUUCCCAAGAAGGACAGAAACCUUCUGUUCCCUUUUUCCCAUACGCUUCAGAAAAUAUCCCUGAUAUUUUCUUUUACAAUGUUCUGUAAUGCUUCUUUUACAUUUCUUCCCAGUGAAACCCCUGAGACUUAAAUAACUCACCUCCUGUUUUCCACCUAAAUUUUCCUUCAUUCUAAUUUCUAGGUUAAAUAACUGCAUAAAAUAAUUUCAACUUUGUAAUUUAUAGGAAGAGUUUUCCUUUAAAAUAAAACUUUUGCAUUUUCAACCACUGAAGCAGAAUUGGAGGCAAUUAGCAGACAUCCUAACUUGAAGUUAAACAGUAUUUUUUUCAGGACAUACAGCUGGAGAGAAAUUUUCAGUUGUAAUGCAAUUCCCUAAUGAACCAUAGUGAACAUACUAGGUUGCUUUCUCUGCAAUCUUGAAAAAAUUACAAAAGGUAUUUCAUUAUGCUAUGAAAGAGAUAUAUAAACAUGCAAAUGUUUCCUGUUGCUAUAAGUUUUGAGGAAUGACUUCUGCAAGCAUUUAUCUAUAGCAUAUCUAAAUUAAAUAGCCCCGCUAGAAGGAAGAGAAAACAUUUUGUAUUCAUUUAGUCAUUAAACAGAAUCAGGAGCAAUUGCUAAAAUAAUGGAUCCCGAUUAUUCAUUACCAUUAUGCUUUACUGGCUGGAAUAGAUACCUGAUAAGAAUCGUAUCAGAACUAUAGCUGCUAAUGAAUGAUUAAAGGCUAGGGAGCAGAUGUGAAGGGAAAGUACAACAAUACCUCAUUUGUUUUUUUCUGAGGAUGCUUCAUUCUAUUCUACUGAGUUUUCCUUUCUACAGGAUAUCUACAACGUAAUGGACUGAACUAGGACCAUAUUUGGACUCUUAUCCACCUCUCUUUCUUGAACUGUGACAAAAAAAAAAUCAAAACCUUGACAAAGUUUAUGAACUAAAAAUAAUAAUAAUGUCCAAAAUGUCAAUGGAAAUAUUUUGUUUAGGUGAUUUUAAAAUAUUUGGAUUAUAAUAGAAUUAGCUUGUGUUUUGUAGCUAAAAUCAUUUUACAGAAAACCAAAAUCUCUAAAUCGAAGCAUCAAAACUAUGUUUUAUCAAAUUUAUAUUUCAGGGUUUUGAAAUCUGAUUUGAUUUAUUUCCUACAAAGUUUUGGCUUAGACAAAUAGAGGCUUUGGUUUUUUGGAUGAAACUAAUUUCGUCAAAAAGCUCCAAGCUGGCUUUGCUGUUCAUGUACAUGUAGUCCAUACAAAUAUCACAGGAAACUUCUGGUAUAUGCAACGGCUUAAUCAGCUGAAACUUGAAUAACACGCAGACACGUAUCUAACUGAUCCCCAGAUGACUAGGAAAUCUGUGUCCCAUAUGCUGUUUAAAAAGGGAGGUCUUAAAAUUUAAUCAGACAGGAGAAAGAAACAGAGCUUGCUUUUUUUUAAAUUAUAAUUCAAUUUUUUCACUUUAUAUAUGUAUUUAAGCCCCAUCUAUUCAUCUGAUCCACAGAUUGAUCUGCAACUGCUUACAAGGUUUGUCACAUAUUACCUAAAUUCACCCAGAAUUCUAUUUUAUUGGCAUCCCAAAAAUUCAGAUCAACUUGAGAACCCAUAAGAUGAGUAAAACCAUCAUGGACAAACACACAUGCUUGCCUGCGUGGGAAAUUAGCACUUAGUCAUCUCCAGCACAGAAGUGUACUUCACUAAACCACUACCUCUCAGUCUGUAUCAGUCUGCAGGCUCCUGGUUUUCUUUUUCUUCCCAGUGGAAGUACAGAGCUUUAUGAAGCAAAUCAAAGCUGCCUGACUCUUCAUAGGUUAAUUUUCACACACGCCUUACAAAAAGCUCACAGACCUCCAGGAUCCAUGGACUACAUGGGGAAAGCAACAGCAGCACCAGUGCUCAAGACUUGUUCCCACAUAGAAACUCUUUGUAGUGCACAGAGACUGGGAAGUACCUUUGCACUGCUUUGAGAAAACCCAUCUUUUUCAAGUUCAACUAAUUUCCAGUUACAAACACAGCCAUGUGUAUAAAACAGAAAUGUUACUACAUUUCUUGAGCAUAAUGAAGUGCUCUUGGCACCAGCAGAGACUCGGACUUUAUACAUAAGCCUUAUUAAGACUUAGUUACCUUUUAAGGUGGUAGGAAAGCAUAGACCAUGAAGAGCUCUGCCAGAGCAGCUUUAUCAAACUUUCCAGUGGCAGUUCAGGGGAUUACCAGCCACAACAGUCUGCCUUCUGCAGGGGGAGAUGCCAGCCCUCAGCUGCUCCCGUGGCUCUCCCGACUGCAGAGCGUGUACAAACGCAGCUGGGUCUCCUUGUGACACCUGCAAAUAAAAAACAAGAGGAAAAUUCAGUGUCUGGAGAAGAUCACCUCCCUGACUGCAGGGCACAGAGAGUUAGUUGUCCUCCAGCAAAGCUAGCCACAGCCGAACCAGUUGUGAGGGUCAGUUCAGGUUAAAAAUAACCAGAGCUUUUUUGGGGGUGUGGAGGAGCAGGCUCUGCAUCCAGGUUGUUGCAAGGCCCCACGAACAAUUUUACAAGAACAACUGAAGGAGAGCAUAGGCUGGGAAUGAGCAGCUGGGGGCUGUUAGGAUGGCAUUGUCAGCGAAUGGCACCGCUUCCCCAAAUUUUCACUAAAACAGAGCUUGAGCACUCAGAUAAUCAGCCACGACAUCUGAGAUAGGGGAGUGGUACUGAGCAGAUGGGCCAAUACCUGCUUAAAGUGCUCCAGCUCCAGUCACUGAAAAGGACAUCUGUCCCUGCUCUCAGCCCGGGUGCCUCAGUGACCCCGCUGCAGCUGGGCAGCAAGAACUCUUCUCUGUGUUUAUGAAAGGGUAUUUUUCAGAAGCUGGUACUCUGAGUGGUAUUUCAAAUGAAUUUUCACAUGGAGGCCAAAAAAACUCCCGCUGUCAGAUGUAUGGAAUAUCAAGUCCUUGUUGCAACACACAGAGGUACCACAGCUCCUCAGCUGAACAGUUGCAAAUAUAUUUUUAAGAUCCCCAAACCAGCAAGCUUUCCCUCAGCCCUGUCCAACAAAAUAUUCUUAUCUGAAACUUUUCACUCUGAGGCACACAAUAGUUUUGGAGAUUUCAGCCCCCAAAAUGAAAGUUUAGCAAGUGAAUGGCAUCUGAAAGUUGAAUUCCUGAAGGCAAACGAUGAACACCUGUGGCUACACUAUACUUUACGCUAAAAAGUACCAUGUACUCUAAAAAGUUACCAUGUCUCUCCUUCCCUCUAUUCAUGUAUUAAACCCCAGACCAUCAUAUUUUUCCCAGUAACACUCGGGCCAACAUACAACGCUAAAAGCGUAUAGAAAUGACUAAUAUGAACGGGCUGAAUAUAAGGCAUUUAAAAAAUAAAACAGAAAUAAAUCAUUACUUAAGAAUAACUGUUUUGUUUGCUUGUCAUUAGACAUCUGUUCAUAGACACUGCAAACGUUCCACUUUGUGUCUGGGUUUAAUAGUAACAACUUUGCAGGGAUGCCUUCUUCUUCCUCCUCAUUGUUUUCACUUGGUUUCUAGGGCAAACAAAACCUCUUUUUUUUCAGCCCUUUAAUAAAUUAAAGCUGCUGCAGAGUUAGAAGUAAAUAACUGCAUACUAUGGAAACUUAAAUCCAGCAAGCCUCAGAAUGUAUCAGAGGUCACUAUAUGCACAGUAUCAAACUCUUUCUCACUCCCUUCACCCCUUGGUAACACCCAGGACCUCUCUGCAGUAACCGAGUAGAAUUCAGGGCAGAAAUUGACCUGAAAAAUGUAGAGUUAGACCUCCUCUUCCUCCCCUCUCCCUGUCAUCUGCUAACAUUUCCAGACAACAAAUAGCAUACUGAAUCUAAACUGUUUUGCUGGAAAUGCCAUCUGCGUGGUGGCAGCUGGGGUGGGAGGGAAGGCACAUAGACGAAUGAACAGCAAUAAAUAUAGAGAGCAGACAAAAUUAGAGAAGUUUUGCUGCUUUCCAGUGCUCUGGAUCUUUGCAUGCUUCUCUUAAGUGGAUACAGCUCUUCUUAAACUGGUGUUUGAACAUCUGGGUUACUUAGCAAGACAGCAAAUUCAGAACAUUUGAACAGAGAUGUCAAACAAGCCAGUUUGGGCAAAAUGCUAAGACUACUGAAAAUGCUGAAGUCAUUUAUGGUUAUAUUCCAUUUUUAACAUAUUGCAGUGUGCUGUAACUAGCAAGGGGGAAAAAAAAAGAAGAUGAGAGUAAGUAUUGUCAAAAGGAAUAAAUAUGUCAUAAACCAUCCAAAAUUAAAAAUCAGUGAAGAUCUGGAGAGAAUGUUUCUUGCAGACCAAACAUAAAAUCAAUGUCCAGAUCAUUGACAACUGAACCUCAAUUCUACAAAAGAAUUUCUGGCAUAACAUUUUAAUUUCCCAUUGCUAUUCAAAAGGACCACUCACAUUUGAAUCAUCCCUUUUUGCUGUAUUGCAGAAAGGAUAAUUCAGUAAUUAAAACCCCAUCUUAAAGAAUUCAGUUCUGUAAAUAAGAUGACAUCAGAGAAAAUCUUAGAGAUUGAAAUUUUGCUCAUAUCUCUUCACUAGCAGAUUGCUAACAACAUCUUGUCUACACAGAACCACAGAAGGGCUGAGGUGGGAAGGGACAUCUGGAGAUCAUCAGGUACAACCUUCAAGCAGGGUCCACAAGGCAGCAGGUUGCACAGGGCUAUGUCCAGUUGCAUUUUGAAUUAUCUCCAAAAAUUAACUCCACAACCCCUCUGGGCAACCUGUUCCAGGGUCUCACCAACCUCAUGGGUAAAAAGUUUGUUCUUCUGUUUAUACAGAAUUUCCUCUGUUUCCUUUUGUGCCCAUUGCCUCUUGUCCCUUCUCUGGAUACCAGUGAGAAAAGACCGGCUCUGUCUUAGAGAAAAGACCGUCUUCUUUGGUCCCUUCUGUCAGGUAUUUAUAUAUAUGCAUAAGAUUCCCCCUAAGUCUUCUCUUCUCGAGGAUAAUAUGUUAGUAAAUAUUAGUAAAACAUUUGCAAAAUAUUUAAAAAUAUAUGUUUACUUACCUUGGAAGCACCUCAGAAGUUUCUUCCCUGAUCUGUCCAUGGUUUCCACAUUGAAUACGGCUCCCAAGAUACUUUUUAGGGUAAGUGCUGCUGUUGUUAGGAGUUUCAUCGACUGCAGCAGGAGACCUUACUUCAGCAACGUUGCAUACUUUCAAACUAUACCGAGGUAAGUCAUUCGGUAAGACAUUCUCCUCUUCCCUUAAGUGUUUAAUUAGAAUAGACACAUUUCAACCUGUGUUAACUCACUCUUGAGGUUCCUCUAAAGUUCAUGAAAUUUAAGAGCAAUCAAUAACAAUGAGUGAGCUCAGUCCUUGAGCAAGUCUACAGCUGCACUACACCUGAAGGAACUAAACCACACAGAAGCCUUUUAAUGCACUUUAAUUUAUGGAAGUUGGACUUGCAUCCCUAACUUGAUUUGCCUUCACUUUCUUGACUGUCCUUAUUUAGAAAUGCCUGGAAAUAAAGACUUUCUGUUCUGUGCCGCAGUUCUCCUUGCGUAAGACAAAGAAAGGACAUAUCAUAUUGGUAAAUAAAUUUAGCCAAUCAACAUCCACUUUAACAAAAUCUAUGUAAUGAAAAGUGUAAAACUACAUACACAUGUCAGUUAUAAUAAGCUCAUUACUCUAUCUUCUCUUCAGAUUUCCUAAAAUGCAGUUCUAUCUUGCAGUAAUAUUUGCCUGUAGUGCAAGAUACGACUUUAUCUGUCGUGAUAAUGCCAUCAUAAGAUGUCAUGAUAAAGACAUCUUACAUUUUCAUUUAAGCAUUAAAUCUUUCAAAGCUGAUACCCGAUGCUGAUAAGCAAGUUUCUCAACAGGCAGCAUGCAAUUCAUAUUACCAGCACCAGAUACCUAAGCUGGGUGUGGAAAACCACACAGUAGCUACCCCUACAAGGCUGCAGUUCCAUGUCCCCCAUCAGGUGACUUAACCACGAGGUGACAAGCCAGCUCCCUCCUCCCCACUGGUAGAGUUGUCCCACCUUCAUCUUUUUCCCCACCUUCGCUGCUCACCAUCAAGACAUUUCUGCAUGGCUGCCUACCAGAAAACCACCAUCUCUCUCUCUGCUGGGUCAGAUUCCUGCUGGCUUAGCACACCGAAACGGUUCAGUGACCCGUGUCAGCCAGCACCCAGCCAAGCCGCAAUGGCAAGACCCAACCGUCACCACCCUCUGAAUAUUCCAGGGGCGUUGGGAAAGUGAGGAGGACGUGCCUUGGCUCAAAAAUGGGUCCCAAAUGCCUGGAAAGCCAGCUGAAACAAGGGGAUGGCAUGUUAACAAACUGGUAAAUUGUAAACAUUGGUCAGUUUAUAAACACUCCGCAGCGCUAGAGCAAUUUCAAAGGAUCUGUUUAUUUGAAAUACAAGCCACAUAUAGAUUUUUAUAUAAGUUUUGGAGCCUCAUUUCUGAAAGGAAAUAAUGUUUGCAGAAUAUCCCAAAUAUCUACUGUUAUGCAUAAUUCUCCUCUACAUGAUGGAUGAGUAAACAAAUGGGACCUAACACACAUUACAUGAAAAUGAAGAAUAACCAACACUGCCCUCUUCUAUGGGAGAUAUAUUACAGCCAUUCAGCUAAUUCCUGUGGGCUCAAUUUCUGGCCAUAGUGCAGCAAUUCUCUUUGUCCUUUGCAGUUUACCUUAAAAUCUUCCAAUUAACAACUUUUUAAAUUUUCUCUUGAGGAAGAACCGGGAAUCACAGGUCACCUACAAUAAAAUGGAAAAAAGUUUUUCAUCAGCUGCAGUGAGUGGUUCACAGAACAGCAAAUAAAGCACAAGCAGGCUGUUAUGAUACCUUACAACAUUGAAUCGCCUUGUUUUGCAUAAAUUUUCACAGAAAUUCUUAAGGUCUUGAGUAAGAACCUGAACUCCAUUUAAAUAAAAUUAACCUGAAGAAACUCAA